rnacentral:rRNA from 1 species
AGAGUUUGAUUCCUGGCUCAGCGGCGGACGGGUGAGUAACGCGUGGGAACGUGCCCUCUGGUUCGGAAUAACUCAGGGAAACUUGAGCUAAUACCGGAUACGCCCUUUUGGGGAAAGGCUUGCUGCCGGAGGAUCGGCCCGCGUCUGAUUAGCUAGUUGGUGAGGUAACGGCUCACCAAGGCGACGAUCAGUAGCUGGUCUGAGAGGAUGAUCAGCCACACUGGGACUGAGACACGGCCCAGACUCCUACGGGAGGCAGCAGUGGGGAAUAUUGGACAAUGGGCGCAAGCCUGAUCCAGCCAUGCCGCGUGAGUGAUGAAGGCCUUAGGGUUGUAAAGCUCUUUUAUCCGGGACGAUAAUGACGGUACCGGAGGAAUAAGCCCCGGCUAACUUCGUGCCAGCAGCCGCGGUAAUACGAAGGGGGCUAGCGUUGCUCGGAAUCACUGGGCGUAAAGGGCGCGUAGGCGGCGUUUUAAGUCGGGGGUGAAAGCCUGUGGCUCAACCACAGAAUGGCCUUCGAUACUGGGACGCUUGAGUAUGGUAGAGGUUGGUGGAACUGCGAGUGUAGAGGUGAAAUUCGUAGAUAUUCGCAAGAACACCGGUGGCGAAGGCGGCCAACUGGACCAUCACUGACGCUGAGGCGCGAAAGCGUGGGGAGCAAACAGGAUUAGAUACCCU